GGGGGUAUGGCGUAGUGGUAACGCGUUCGCUUCGCAUGCGAAAGACCCUGGGUUCGAUCCCCAGUGCCUCCA